GCCUCGUCACGUUGAAACACCGAUUCCCUUACGAUCAGCGAAAUUAAGCAACGUUAAGCCUGGUCUGUACCGAGUUGGGUAACCACUUGGGAAUACAAUGUGCUGUAA